GGCCCCCUGUUUCUCCAAUUGACGGUGAGAUUGGUGAAGUCCUAUUUGUUUGGAACUUCUAUUUGUGGGACACAGCACAACAGGGUUGUGGAGAAAGCCAUACAUUACCCACUUGGUGGUUCGCAGUUUGAGACUAUGAAAGACUGACAGUUUGGAGAUCUAUGGCUGAACGAUUUGGAGUACCAGACGGCUGGGAAGAACAAAGUAGAGAGGGUUUUGGGUAAGAUCAAGGACAACAAUCGGCCCUUACAAUGUAUUGUCUAAUUAGCUCCUCUCGACGCAGGUUUUCUGAUCAAAAUAGACAAAAUCCUCCGACUUCGUCUCCGUCUCUCUGCCAUAGACGUUGGCCUCGGCUAGUCAUGAUGCAGCUAAGAAAGCUUGAGCCAGCUAUGGUCCGUUGCCAACACCCCCAUCAGCAGCCUCCCCUUGAAAUCGAUAGAUGGACAGCCGUCGGGGUCACUCUCCCUCUAUCGUAAGCCCAGCCACUGUAACCCCACCACUGUCAAAGGCCGACCCAGAAAUCAAGCAGAGAUGGGCGAUCAACUCCAUGUGCCCCGCCACUAUCUCCAACAACCCCACCGCUGCUAGAGGUCGGCCAGAUGGAGGUGUAGCUGUGUGGAUGGCGCAACCGCCCGCCAGGUGGUCGUAAAAAAGGCAGAUCUACUUGUAUCACAUGUGGGGCAAGGACAGAUAUAGAGUUAGUGACUCUUCAUCCAACCAUCUUUUUAAGUGCAUCCACUCAUGCGUAAGUUUCUUAUUUAGCUCUGUGAAAUCGUGUUUUUUUCCCCCCCUUGGCCAUGUAAAAUUGGAUUUUUAAGUGAGCAUCGAAGUUAACCUGGUUGAUUUUCUUAAAGCUCAAAAAAUAUAUAUUUAAGAUAAAUCUGUCAUUUUACCUUGAUAAUUUUUAAGGAAUACCUUGACUCAUGAUGUUCAUUUUCCAAGGGAUUGUAUCGCAUCAAGACGCAAAAAAAGUCAAAGGAAGUUUAUAGAUCUGCAGUUUUCAUAUUUCGCUCAAUUAAUCACUAUGGACCCUUGCGCAUGCUUGCAAGCGAGCUGGACAGGGUAAAUUGGAGCGAUAAUGUUUAUCCAUGAUAUACUAAAUGGUUAGAUGGGACAAGAUUUAACAAUCAAUGGAUGGAUACUAUAUGGGGAUGUACUUGUAUCUAAAUCUGUCAGGGGCUCUGUCGAGGAUCCAUGACGCGGACCAAAAUCAGUUUAAACCAUUGAUCUCAGUUUUGAUGGUCUGGAUGACACCGACCUCGACCAGAUGAGGCAAGAUUGGGUUGAGCAUCCUCAAGGCUUGAUGACCCCGGCAGAUAUCAGACAACUUUAAGGUGUACCAAAUCGGCAGUUUGUUUCAUAUAUUCCUCCCGAAGGUGAACAUGAAAGAAAGUGUUCAUGACAUCUUGUUGAUGAAUGUCCUGAUCAGAAAAGAAGAAAAAUAAAGAUACUAUAACCUAUUAGUCGAGCUUUUGGAUCAGAGAUGAGUCUACUUCGCCUAUAGGCUCGGUGAAUAUUUUACAAUUAUAAAGGAGCAUAUUAAACUCUU